CCAGUAACAAAAUGAAAACUCAAUAAUGGGUUUAGUUGGGGCAAACACAUUGCCUGUGUUCAUGGACUGAUUUAUCAUCCUUGUCCCCACGUGGACACUCCCACACACAGUAACUGUCACACACCUGGUAAUUGGCAGUUGGAACUACAACAGAAUCUGAAAAUUCAAGGUAGAACUUUGCAAAAGAAAAAUCUGUUGCUUGUAGCAGGGCAAUGGUUAUGUGGUUAUUGGCCAAAUGUAAAAUUUGAGAGCAAUAUACAGGACAGGAACAGGUGUGUGCUUUUCAAAAGCUUCCACUGACAUCUCUGAAGAAUGAGAAAACACUACAUGGCACUAGCUGGGUGAUUUUGAAAGGAAAAUACAUUCCUAAGGUAACAGUUAAAUCCUUCUGUUGUUACAAACUCGUAGUCGCUUCAAAAAUAGUAGUCAGGUGUCUAGGUCUUGGAUAAUACUCUUGGUUAACACUAAACGUAGCUUAAGUAGACUCUGCAGUUGUAUACAUUUGUAAAAGUAUUAUCUGAACAACUAGUGAGGUUUCAGACUCUUGUAAUUGUAGUUAAAUAGUCAUUGUAUUUUCUUGUGAGCUGUGUUUAAUGGUUUUACCUCAAAUCAGAAAAGAAAAAAAAAUGAAGUGCUUGGGUCAGUUAAUAAAACAGUUUUGCCCCC
rnacentral:lncRNA from 1 species